rnacentral:rRNA from 1 species
GAUGAACGCUGGCGGCGUGCCUAAUACUUGCAAGUCGAGCGAACAGACGAGGAGCUUGCUCCUCUGACGUUAGCGGCGGACGGGUGAGUAACACGUGGAUAACCUACCUAUAAGACUGGGAUAACUUCGGGAAACCGGAGCUAAUACCGGAUAAUAUAUUGAACCGCAUGGUUCAAUAGUGAAAGACGGUUUUGCUGUCACUUAUAGAUGGAUCCGCGCCGCAUUAGCUAGUUGGUAAGGUAACGGCUUACCAAGGCAACGAUGCGUAGCCGACCUGAGAGGCUGAUCGGCCACACUGGAACUGAGACACGGUCCAGACUCCUACGGGAGGCAGCAGUAGGGAAUCUUCCGCAAUGGGCGAAAGCCUGACGGAGCAACGCCGCGUGAGUGAUGAAGGUCUUCGGAUCGUAAAACUCUGUUAUUAGGGAAGAACAAAUGUGUAAGUAACUAUGCACGUCUUGACGGUACCUAAUCAGAAAGCCACGGCUAACUACGUG